CUUAAAAGAGUAAUGUCUAAAAUAUUUUUAAGAAUUCUGUUACCUUAUUUUGUUGUUUUGAAUGGAGCAAUUAGUCAAGAAAUCUUUGGUCAACAAUUUAUAAGUUGCACUCAAGAUAAGAUCACAUCUCAUCGCAAUACACUGUAUGAUGACGUGGAUGAUUUGCAACCUCAACUCGACCAAGAAAUCAUAGAGAGGCUCCUGCGUACGGGGAAAUUAAAUUACGAAACCGGAGGAGCGUUGUACCAAUGGUUGUUAAGGCGACCUUCUAUAACACCAAUAACAUAUCCA